rnacentral:rRNA from 1 species
UACGUAGGGGGCAAGCGUUGUCCGGAAUCAUUGGGCGUAAAGCGCGUGUAGGCGGCUUGGUAAGUCUGCUCUGAAAGCCCGGGGCUCAACCCUGGGAGGCGGGUGGAUACUGCCGAGCUCGAGUCCGGAAGAGGCGAGUGGAAUUCCUGGUGUAGCGGUGAAAUGCGCAGAUAUCGGGAAGAACACCAGUGGCGAAGGCGACGUGCUGGGUUGCACCUGACGCUGAGAUGCGAAAGUGUGGGGAGCAAACGGG